rnacentral:misc_RNA from 1 species
GUAUAAUCCUUGCUAAAACUAGCUCAAAUAUGAGUUAUGCAAGGAACCCUUGUUGGUUUUCUACAUCUUUAAGCUACACCAAACGAUUCAACUUGUUCAUGAGUACCAAUCUGAUCGCGUCUAAGAAAUCAGAAUUGGCUUUAGAGUUGGAAGGGACUGGGUGCUGGGGUCGCAGGGGAAGAACUUCCGCUAUCUCCACGUUCUCCUCCGUUUCUUUUCAGAAUUCCUCCUGCCUUGAAGGCCACAGAGACGACAGUCUUUGCCAAGCUCUCAAAAAUUUGAGCUUUG